UCAACUACUUCCGGAUUAGAUACAGUCUGUGCGCAGUGAAGUAUAGUGUUUCAGUUUUGAGGUGGCUGAUGAUGGAAUAGUAAAACAAUAUAACCUUGUUUUUCUCCAUGGAUAUUGUGAAGCAAAGCACCAUUAAGUUAAAGAGCAGAAUGGAGGAGCUACGAGAAAGUGCCUAGAAAAGGGGAAUCAUUUUUAUGAGGGAAAAAACGCCCACGCCAAGAGCACCUGCAUACACUGUCCUGCUGUGGAGGAAUGAAGACUCAACUACCCUCUCACCUCUGUGAGACUGCAAGCAAGGGUGAAGAUUAGCCAUCGUAAAAACACAGUAAAGCACCAUGAAGAAAACAGUACAGAGAAAAAUGUUAGGACAUGGGCAAUAGAAAAUACAGUGCUGGAAUAGUAAAGCUACCUGGUGAAUUUGCAUGGUCGUUUGACAAACAUUUAGAUGAGACACAAUCAGUACUACUUUUACAAACUACAGUUUAAAAUGACUUCAAGCCUACAAAAUAUGGAAUCGUUUUUUUUUCUUUUUUCUUACAGUUACUAUAUCCAGAAAAGAAGUGGAAAUGCUUUAAGAAACACAAAGGCAUAAGCAAAACCUUUAAACACUAAGGGCCUUGUUUUCUGACAUUAGUACCAUUUCUGACUUAUUCAAAAUGCUAAUAUCCUUUUCAGCCACCUACAAAGGUCAGUCUGCAUGCUUGAAUUAGUGCUAUUAACACAUUUUCUUAAUGCUUUGAGUACAAUUGGCGCAUUUCCGUGUUCAUUAUAUAAUUUGCGCAAUCUAUGAAGGUGUAGGACACUUAUUAGUACCUUCUCAGUGCAGCGUUAUUAAAAUCAGGAGAGGUCAGCUUUAAAAAAAAUUGGGGUGUUAACCCCAUUCUUAUAAAUGGGAGUAGCAAGAAGGUGUCUGCCGUUCUUUGUUUACAUACAGUAGAAGGUGUCAGAAAGCAAGAAUUAGGCAGGGGAAAUCCUGUCAGACCUCAAAUAAAAUGGUCAGUUUUCCCAGAUGAAAUGUUUGUUAAAAGAUUUCACUUCACACAUCUGGCAAUGUCAGAAUUAUGUGAGGCGCUCAGACCUGAACUGGAACCUACUUCUAAAUGAUCACACGCAAUACCAGCUGGUUACGUAUUAUAAUCAUAUUACACUCUGAGACUGCAACCAUGCACCCACCCAAUGUAUACACAUGUCUUGGUCCAGAACCUUCUUAAAUAAAAGCAAAAGUGUGCUUGCAUUAUGUAUACCCUAUUAUAUAGAGCUGUAGCCAAGAAAUUCACAAACAUUUCUAGAAAUUUCUCUAAAGAAUUUUAGGAAAAAUCUUUUGUAGCAAAAGUUAAGUCAAUAUGGGAAAAAGUAAAGAAAUCUGAAGACCUUAGGCAGAAAAUUAUUUAAUGUCAUAAAACUAGAGAAGGAUCCCUGAAGAUUUCCAAGCAUUUGAGUAUCCCAAUUUCAACUACUGUUUCUAUUAUCAAUAAGUACAAGAAUCAUGGUUCUGUCACAACGCUCCCUGAGUCUGGAAGAAAGAAGGUUCUUUCACCAAGAACAAGUAGAAGAAUUGUGAGGAAG